ACACAUGCAAGUCGAGGGGCAGCAUCAUCAAAGCUUGCUUUGAUGGAUGGCGACCGGCGCACGGGUGAGUAACACGUAUCCAACCUGCCGACAACACUGGGAUAGCCUUUCGAAAGAAAGAUUAAUACCGGAUGGCAUAGUUUUCCCGCAUGGGAUAAUUAUUAAAGAAUUUCGGUUGCCGAUGGGGAUGCGUUCCAUUAGGCAGUUGGCGGGGUAACGGCCCACCAAACCUACGAUGGAUAGGGGUUCUGAGAGGAAGGUCCCCCACAUUGGAACUGAGACACGGUCCAAACUCCUACGGGAGGCAGCAGUGAGGAAUAUUGGUCAAUGGACGAGAGUCUGAACCAGCCAAGUAGCGUGAAGGAUGACUGCCCUAUGGGUUGUAAACUUCUUUUAUACGGGAAUAAAGUGAGCCACGUGUGGCUUUUUGUAUGUACCGUAUGAAUAAGGAUCGGCUAACUCCGUGCCAGCAGCCGCGGUAAUACGGAGGAUUCGAGCGUUAUCCGGAUUUAUUGGGUUUAAAGGGAGCGUAGGCGGGUUGUUAAGUCAGUUGUGAAAGUUUGCGGCUCAACCGUAAAAUUGCAGUUGAUACUGGCGACCUUGAGUGCAACAGAGGUAGGCGGAAUUCGUGGUGUAGCGGUGAAAUGCUUAGAUAUCACGAAGAACUCCGAUUGCGAAGGCAGCUUACUGGAUUGUAACUGACGCUGAUGCUCGAAAGUGUGGGUAUCAAACAGGAUUAGAUACCCUGGUAGUCCACACAGUAAACGAUGAAUACUCGCUGUUGGCGAUAUACAGUCAGCGGCCAAGCGAAAGCAUUAAGUAUUCCACCUGGGGAGUACGCCGGCA
rnacentral:rRNA from 1 species